rnacentral:lncRNA from 1 species
UUUCAAAUUCAUGGCUCUUUUUUAUUGUUAUUACACACACACACACAUACACACACACACACACACACACACACAUACACACAUACACACACACACACACACACACACACACACACACACGUCAUAAACAAUCAUGUGGCAAACCAUUGAGGUCACAGUGUUCAUCCUUACAUUCCUCCAAAGUUCAUCUUCUGUUUGCUGCUUCCUCCCAAAUCUCCAUAUGACUUCUGCCAGUAUCUGAUAAGUUCCUUUGGAAUGGGAGGCAAACAGCUGAUAGUUACUAAACCUUGAUUGCUGAACAAAACACAUGAUCUCCUUAAUUUUAUAUCCUUGUAAGUUAAUCUUUGUAAAUAAAUCCCCAUUUCAGUGGUUUAUAUAAGGGUACAAGCUCAACCACCUUUUGGAAUCUUCCCUUAUAUAACUAAGGAGGAACACAAAGAAGGAAGAGAAUAUAGUAGGUUCAAGUUGAAAAACUAGUAUUCUGAAGUAUAAAGAAUUUCUUUGACCCUCUCUAUACUUCUCCUCUAUUCCCUCCCAUACGGAUGGUCAGGAAUUUGAAAUUAGGUGUGUAGCGGUGGGGAAGGGGGAAAUGGGGGGUAGCCACUAGAAAGUUCCAGUUGCCAGGCCAACAGGCUCCCAGGACCCAACAAGGAGAACAUUAGCAGAAAUACCCAACAAAGGGGAGAUAGAACCUGUAGAGACCAUAUCCAGUUGAUAGGCACAGCCCCCAUUUGAGGGAUGAGGCUACCCACCCACCUCAAAAUUAUCAAUCUAGAAUUCCUCCUGUCAAAAGGAAAUGCAGGGGCAAAGAGUGUAGCAGAAAUUGAAGGAAAUGCCAUCCAGAGACUGCCCCUUUUAAGGAUACAUCCCAUCUGCUGACACCAAUCCCAGACACUAUGGCUGAUGUCAAGAAGUGCUUACUGGCAGGAGACUGGAGUGCUGAUCACAGGCCUUGGACAAAAGGAAUACAGCAACAGAAGUCACAAUUUCAGCUUAUCAAUGCUGGAAAGGAGCAUGUAUCAGAGGUGAAAGUCAAAAAUCUCGCUCUAUAGCCUCAGAUGCCUUGAAACUCCCCACAUAGCCCAAGAUGACCUUCGUCUUACAGGAAUGGUCCUGCUGCAUCCUCCCAAAAACUGAAAUUAUAGAGAUGUGAGUCAUCAUGUCUGCCUAAUUAUAUAUAAGAUACAUAUAAUUGAUUUU